rnacentral:rRNA from 1 species
GAUGAACGCUGGCGGCGUGCCUAAUACAUGCAAGUCGAACGAAACUUCUUUAUCACCGAGUGCUUGCACUCACCGAUAAAGAGUUGAGUGGCGAACGGGUGAGUAACACGUGGGCAACCUGCCCAAAAGAGGGGGAUAACACUUGGAAACAGGUGCUAAUACCGCAUAACCAUAGUUACCGCAUGGUAACUAUGUAAAAGGUGGCUAUACUACCGCUUUUGGAUGGGCCCGCGGCGCAUUAGCUAGUUGGUAGGGUAAAGGCUUACCAAGGCAAUGAUGCGUAGCCGAAUUGAGAGGUUGAUCGGCCACAUUGGGACUGAGACACGGCCCAAACUCCUACGGGAGGCAGCAGUAGGGAAUCUUCCACAAUGGGCGAAAGCCUGAGGGAGCAACGCCGCGUGGGUGAAGAAGGUCUUCGGAUCGUAAAACCCUGUUGUUAGAGAAGAAAGUGCGUGAGAGUAACUGUUCACGUUUCGACGGUAUCUAACCAGAAAGCCACGGCUAACUACGG